rnacentral:rRNA from 1 species
UACGAAGGGGGCUAGCGUUGCUCGGAAUUACUGGGCGUAAAGGGCGCGUAGGCGGCACUGUUAGUCAGGCGUGAAAGUCCUGGGCUCAACCUGGGAACUGCGCUUGAUACGGCAGAGCUAGAGGAUGGAAGAGGCUCGCGGAAUUCCCAGUGUAGAGGUGAAAUUCGUAGAUAGUUGGGAAGAACACCGGUGGCGAAGGCGGCGAGCUGGUCCAUUACUGACGCUGAGGCGCGACAGCGUGGGGAGCAAACAGG